rnacentral:rRNA from 1 species
UACGAAGGGGCUAGCGUUGCUCGGAAUCACUGGGCGUAAAGCGCACGUAGGCGGAUUGCUAAGUCAGGGGUGAAAUCCUGGAGCUCAACUCCAGAACUGCCUUUGAUACUGGUGAUCUUGAGUCCGGAGAGGUGAGUGGAACUGCGAGUGUAGAGGUGAAAUUCGUAGAUAUUCGCAAGAACACCAGUGGCGAAGGCGGCUCACUGGCCCGGUACUGACGCUGAGGUGCGAAAGCGUGGGGAGCAAACAGG